UCGGCGAGUGUUCUUUGUGUCAGGCGGCGUUUGAGCUUGCGAGAGAAGCGUUGACCGUGAUGAAUUGCUUUAAUGGCGCCCCUUUCGUCGGACGCUGCGCCUGCUGGCUCGUUAUCAUCAUCAUGGGGCGCUGCUGUGCAGUUGAGCCGAGUCUUAUCGCAUGACUUGUUUGCCGCCGCUUAGGCAGGCGACAAAAUGAAAAUCAAAUAGAUUCAAAACUCAUGUGGAGCACAGACUGAUAACCUCGGUGGACGCCAGUUUUUGGUUUUACGUGAAGCCUGACGACGGAUUUUAAAAAUAAACCACGAGCUGCAUGCCGUCAGCUUCGUACGUAUAUUAAGUCUAA